ACAAACAAAAUACAUACUUAUAAUAUUCAACAAGAACAUAAAAUAACUAUAGAAACAUCAAAAUUUAAGUACCUGUGUAUACAUGAUUAGUGAGGUUAAUGAACAUAAUAUUUGUUAUUUAGGUACAUUAACUCGAAUCAUUUAUCAACUAUUGAAAAUUUGAGUUAUUCAACAAAUAUAUUUAUGAACAAGAGUCAAGAAAUUAAAAAUAUAUAAAGCAAUAAGAAUCAGUGCUAAAAAAUCGCAAUGUAAUUAAGUUUGACUCCAAUUACUUAUAAGAAUCAUUUUAUUCUGAAUAUAUAUUUCGUAAGUCUACAGAAGAAGGAAGAUGAAUAUGAGCUGCAACUAGGUAAUACAUUGAAAAAUCAUAAAAGUAAAACAAAACUAGAGUAGAUGGAGACAACUGGCUUCGAGUUUUAUGUAAAAUUUUUAAUUUUGUAAUCAAUCCAUAAUAAUAUAUAAGACCACUGGU